rnacentral:rRNA from 1 species
UACGUAGGGGGCAAGCGUUGUCCGGAUUUAUUGGGCGUAAAGAGCGUGUAGGCGGCCAGACAGGUCCGUUGUGAAAACUGGAGGCUUAACCUCCAGACGUCGACGGAAACCGCGUGGCUAGAGUCCGGAAGAGGAGAGUGGAAUUCCUGGUGUAGCGGUGAAAUGCGCAGAUAUCAGGAAGAACACCCGUGGCUAAGGCGGUUCUCUAGUACGGUACUGACGCUGAGACGCGAAAGCGUGGGGAGCGAACAGG